CUGAGUUGGGGGCGGGCCUUACCUGAUAUAGGGGUCCUAUAAUAAGGAGCUACAGGCAACUCAGGCAGCGGGCACAGACAGGCUGCAGCGGCAAGACAGCUGGCAGCGGCACAGGAGGAGCCAAACAAGAGCUGCUAACAGGGGAAGUUAUCAGUGGGAGCGCUGCUGGAGGAGCGGGUUUUUCUGGAUUU